ACUCCAAUGAGCCUAAAUUGAAAAUAAAGAAAAACAAUUUUUUUUUUUGUUUUUUCCAAAGAUUUCAAUUCAUUAUUUAUUGAGAAGAUAGCCACAAUUUGUUUUUUACUUGGCCGCAUCUUCGAUGCACAAAAUUUGAUUCGAGUGAGUUUUAUAUCAUUUUUGUUAAAAUUUUAUACAUAAUUUAAAAAUAUAUUCCCUUAUUCGUUGUUUAAAAGUUUAUUUUUUAAUAAAACCCUUUCAAUAUAAAAGUUAACAAAUUUUAAUCGAUAGAGUAAAGUCAUUCAUUCUUUUUUUCGUCCUGGUGCAAUCACUUAUUAAUAAAUUAAUAUUAAUAAUUUAUUAAUGAAUGCUAGGUGGGUAAGAACUGAAAUAAAAAAUGAUGGAAUGUUUAAUAGUUUUCUUAAAAAGCAGAUGCUACAAACUCAGUUUCAGUUGGUGAAAGUGUUACUAUUUGCUGCUUUUUCGAAGACCAUGAUAUUGCACAUGAAUUCAGCAUGAAAACAUGGCCAGAAGUGCUAUUGCGAUCAUCUAUGUCACCUGCAUAAUCACUAUCUGUAUAGCCAACAAGUUGAGUGGAUGACUGCUCUUGAAUCUCAACUUGAGGUGAUGGCUGCUCUUGUAUUGGAGGUGGAGGUGGAGUUGAUGACCGAUCUACUUCUUUCUCCCCUUCUAGAAUCUCAGCAAUAUCAAGUAUUGGAUUUCAAACUGAAUUGCCAUCAGUUCAAUUCCAUUUGGAAUCUUCAAUAAAAACUAUAUCUCUACUUAUCACUACCUUUUUUGUCAUGGGAUUAAAUGAUUUGUAAGUUUUCAGAGUUUCACUUACUCCAAGAAAUAUACAUUUCUCACUCUUGUCAUCAA